CCUACGGGUGGCAGCAGUCGGGAAUAUUGCUCAAUGGAGGAAACUCUGACGCAGCAACGCCGCGUGGAGGAAGAAGGUUUUCGGAUUGUAAACUCUUUUCGUUAGAGAAGAUAAAGGACUGUACCAAAGGAGGAAGCCCCGGCUAACUCUGUGCCAGCGGCCGCGGUAAUACAUAGGGGGCAAGCGUUAUCCGGAAUUAUUGGGUGUAAGGGGUGCGUAGACGGAAGAACAAGUAGGUUGUGAAAUCCCUCGGCUUAACUGAGGAACUGAAACUAAAACUAUUCUCCUUGAGUGUGGGAGAGGAAAGUGGAAUUCCUAGUGUAGGGGUGAAAUGCGUAGAGAUUAGGAGGAAUACCAGUGGCGAAGGCGACCUUCUGGAAGAUAACUGACGCUGAGGCACGAAAGCGUGGGGAGCAAACAGGAUUAGAUACCCCAGUAGUC
rnacentral:rRNA from 1 species